CAAAUAUUAAUGGUUUCGUCCGCGUUGGAAACACAGGUGAAAUCAGAUAUGGGGAUUAUAACAAUUGCUACAAGAGAUAUAUUAAAGGUGGCUUUUAACGCUGGCUCGUCCCAACAUGGAAACAUUCGUCUAGCACCAUUCGGUUCGAACUGCGUUGCAGCAAUCCAUCUACGAUUUAAUAAAAUAUCUUAAAUUUUGGAUAGACCCAGAGGCGAACCAGAUCACCGAACAAAUAGAAUUUUAAGUAUAAUUGUUAUAUGUUUAAAUAAUGAUUUAUCGAACCUUACAUGUUAUGGCAACGAUGAUAAAA